rnacentral:tRNA from 1 species
GCGGGCGUGAUGGAAUGGUAGACAUUCGAGACUUAAAAUCUCGUGGCCUCGUGCCGUGCGGGUUCGAGUCCCGCCGCCCGCA